rnacentral:tRNA from 1 species
GCAAUGGUGGUUCAGUGGUAGAAUUCUCAACUCCCAUGCAGGAGACCCAGGUUUGAUUUCUGGCCAGAGCA